ensembl:lncRNA LINC01471 long intergenic non-protein coding RNA 1471
AGAGGUGGGGGACAGAGUGGGUGGGGAGGGGAGCCGCCAUACAGUGGCCAGGACCAGCUUUGCCCAAGUGGUGGCAACCGCAUGACCACAGGAACGAUGGCGUGAGCCCCGUGGCAACCUGGAGGAAGGGCCAAGCCACUGGUGAAUAUGCUGCAAAAAAUAUGCUGGAACUUCUAUGAAUACCACAGGGUGUGAGAAGAAAACAUUAGAACUUCUAUUUUGUACCUGUGUUACUCCACAACAAGAAAGCAAUCAGCUUGAUCAAUGCCUACUGUAAAGACGGCACCGCCCUCCGGAGGUCCUUUCUCAGCCCUGGUGUUCGGACAGCCACAUCCCCUCGCAGCAGGGGGAGGCCUGAAGCAUAGAGGGGCCCAUGCAGGUCUAUUCUGUUUCAGCGAAUUGCCUGGGAAAUAAUCCAGGAUCCAUUUCGUGUGGUCAUCUUGUCUCCCUGGUCCCCUCCAGCCUUUCCUCAUCUUUUGUGACCUGGUCACUCUGGAAGGGCGCUGGCCAGUUAGUCCACAGGAUGGGCCUCCCCUGGGGCUUUUCUGAUGCUUCCUUAUGAUGGCACUGGCAUCCUGAGGGGGAGGACCACAGAGAGGAGGUGCUCCUCAUCACACCACAUGGGGGUCCAUGCACCAGUGCCACUGCUUUCCAGGGCUCUUCACCUUCAUCACUGGUGGAGGUGGCGUCUGCCAAGAAGCAGAAAGUUGAGGCUUAGAAGGUGCACGGCCCUACCUCUUCCGAGGUGCCCCUGCGGGCUGUCUACAGACCAGGCAGCACAUGCCUGAUAGCAGCUGCAUAAGGAAAAGCAGGAGCCAGCUCGUGCACAGUGGCCUCAAGUGUGCACUGGGCAUGUUCUCUGCCUCACCAUCCCUGUGUGACAGAUGAAGCAUGGCAAGCCAGGCUCCAGAGAAGCAUCCUGAGGACCAGUGUUCCUAGGGACCUCAUUCUUCUGACCUCAUUCCUACAACGUUUUGUCACUGCAAAGGAAAUCACCAAGGCCAGCAGCAUGACAGCCCUCAACAGAAGCCAAGGCCAAGUCCUCGAACUUCCUAGUCUGCACAAUGACAAGUGAGCUCAUGGAAACCUCUCCAUCGUUGACCAGGAUCUAUAGGAAAACCCUCCUCUUCUUCUAUAUGCAAAGGCUGCACAGCUCCUGGUUCACCUGCACCUCUCCAGACCACCAUGGUGCCUGCAGCUCUGAGGGCAUUUUAAAUCAUCACAGAACAACAAGCAUAUAAGCAUCAUGAGCGCCUCUGGACCUCUGACGUGCCUUGUGGAGGCCUGCCAGGCCCACGUUUUAAUUUACAUGAACUCGAUGCCCUUUUUGACA